rnacentral:rRNA from 1 species
AGAGUUUGAUCCUGGCUCAGGAUGAACGCUAGCUACAGGCUUAACACAUGCAAGUCGAGGGGCAGCAUGGUCUUAGCUUGCUAAGGCCGAUGGCGACCGGCGCACGGGUGGGUAACACGUAUCCAACCUGCCGUCUACUCUUGGACAGCCUUCUGAAAGGAAGAUUAAUACAAGAUGGCAUCAUGAGUCCGCAUGUUCACAUGAUUAAAGGUAUUCCGGUAGACGAUGGGGAUGCGUUCCAUUAGAUAGUAGGCGGGGUAACGGCCCACCUAGUCUUCGAUGGAUAGGGGUUCUGAGAGGAAGGUCCCCCACAUUGGAACUGAGACACGGUCCAAACUCCUACGGGAGGCAACA